rnacentral:lncRNA from 1 species
CAAAAAGGCCAAAACCCCACCACUCUCCCCGCCUCUCUCUCCCCCCUCCCUUGAACAGAGGCUAAACUCUUGGGGGGGAUAAAGAGAUAAGAGAGAAUCCAAGCAACACACAUACACAAAACCCUUAGCUGCCACCAAAGCCUCUUUUGAAGAUAUAGUUUUUAAGGGAGCAUUCAUUCUGAGGGGAAUGUUGUCUGGACCGGGGACACUUGUGUUUCUAAUCCAUUUUCCCUGCAAUAUUGUUCUGGCCAUGGGGAUCUUUAUAUUGCUUAUUUUUGUAAUGGAUUAAGGUUGUACUAGUGUCGUCGGACCAGGCUUCAUUCCCCCCAAUCAUUGCUCCCAUAUGCAACUCCCAUGGACUGCAGCAUGUAAAAAAGGUUUGGGUUGUUUUUUUGGAUCAUUGGGGUGUUUUAUUUACUGAAAUUAAGGUUGUUUGUUACUUUGCAGUGCAAUGAUGAAAGGGUUUUUGACCAAUUUGUUAAAGUUUCAUCAUUACUUUCUUUUCUUUUCUUUUUUUCUGUCAGUACUAAGUUUGUAAACCCUCUUUUCUAGUUCAUCAUUACUCAGAUCUUUUUCCAUGAUGGCUUCUUUUUUUUCUUUUUAUCUCAUCUGUCAGUUUUAUGCUUGUUUCAUGCUGUUAUUAAGAUCUGGUUUUCAAGUUUGGUCAAACUUUAUCUCUAGGGUUUCAAGUUGGAGAUGAUGUUUACAGACAUAUUCACUUAUAUAUUCUCAAAUAUACAGAUCUGCACUACAUGUUACCAGAUUUGCAUGGAUAAGAAAAUGCUUUAGGUCUUAAACUAAAUAUGAUGCAGUAAUAGUUUUGAUUAUAUAUAUAUAGCUAGCUUGUGCGUCUUUGGAAUGAAUAAGGAAUGUAAUAUUUAAACUCUUUUUACUGUUGAUAAGACUAAUUUUUGAGAAAGUAAUGUUAACAUAAUUUCUAUUUUGUAAAAUAUAUUUUACUAUUACAUCCAUUAAUUGCUGAUGGCUUUUUGCAUGAAAGAGCUUUGCCAAUGGAAGUGUGGGUAUGAUGAAAGGAAAACUACUUACUUUGGCUUUGUUAUUAUUACAUCUUACCUAAAAAUUGAUCAACAAGAAAUGUUGAAUGUUUGUAAUUCAGUAAAAUAAUAAUAAUAACAUCUUUAUACUACCAUUGUAGUAAUAAUAAUUUCUUUUCUUUUAUUUUUUUUGUAAAAAAAUAAGAAUUUUUAUAUAAUAAAUGAUACCUUUGUUAUAUUUGGACUUAUUUGAUUCUUUUUAAUAAAGAUUAAAUUGAUCCAUUUAAUAAGAGACCUACGAGAUAUUUUAACCAGUUUUUAUCGAUCAAAAACUAGCUUAGUUUUUUAUUAACUUUGUUUUCUAGUGUGGCAAAAGAUGUUUAUUACCCAAGAAAUUUUUUAAGCUUACAUUACAUUUUUAGAGAAAAGAAGAAAGGGUUUUAAUCACAUCAAACUUGGAAUCACAUGCCACCACUUGAACCGGCAUAUAAACAUAUCUUGUGAUCCUAUGCUCGGCUUGAUUUCAUUUCAUCUCAUAAAAAGUUUUCAAUAUUGUCCACCAGCUACUUCCCAUCAGCUUUGAAGGACCCGUGAUUUGAAACUAUAUGUCGGGUGCUAGCGUUGCCAUUGCCAAUCUUUGAAUGGCCGAAUGUUUUCCCAAUGUGGUUGAGGCACUUUGAUUAUCAACCUAUUUGAGUUCGUAGUUUUAAAUAAAGUUAAUUUUAACUUGACCCCUUAACAUAUCUUGGCUUCAAUCAUGGAUCUUAGCUAACUCGUUGGAUGCAUUUAGCUA